UACAGAGGGUGCGAGCGUUGUUCGGAAUUACUGGGCGUAAAGGGCGCGUAGGCGGCCUGCUAAGUCGAACGUGAAAUCCCCGGGCUCAACCCGGGAACUGCGUUCGAGACUGGCGGGCUUGAAUCCGGGAGAGGGAUGCGGAAUUCCAGGUGUAGCGGUGAAAUGCGUAGAUAUCAGGAGGAACACCGGUGGCGAAGGCGGGUCUCUGGGCCGAUACUGACGUGAGGAGCGAAAGCGUGGGGAGCGAACAGG
rnacentral:rRNA from 1 species